GAAAGAAUGACAAAGAGUUCAAUCAGCUCAUGAUUUCAAUCUCCAACGAGUUCAUCACUCUUGAUCCAAUGAAUGUCUUUUAGACUCUGGGGCUGAAAUAUUUUAUUGUAAAAUGUUGGAGGGUUAGCUGAUAGAGAAGAUAAAGAGCUUAACAUUGCUGUUAGUCUCGUAUGUGUUGUGUGUUUUGGGAUUCCGAACCAGUUUACAGUUUCUCUCAAUGGUUGGAUUCUGCUCGGGAAAAGGAGUCUCCCUAACUCUAAUAGUCAAUCAAGAGAGUUUGAUUAUAAGGCCUUUAUCCUCCUAUCAAACAGGUAAGCGGGAUAGGUGGUGUAAAAUAUAAAUUUCAGUUGCUGGACAUGGUAUUGAACAAACUGCUUGCACAGGAUUGUUUUACAACCUUACAACUGAGUCUUUCCUUGUUAAAUUUUUUGUCUGCCACUUAACCAAUUUAGUAUUGUAAUUUUGUUUCCGGUUCUAAUAUUUUUCCAGUGGAAUAAGACUAUUUCAGCAAAAAAAAAGGU